GCCAAGCCGUAAAAAAUCAACUUACACCAAUUAGCGCCCGGGAAUUACGAGUAAAACUUAAAACCCAAAGGACUUGACGGUGUCCUAUCCCCUACUAGAGGAGCCUGUUCUAUAAUCGAUAAUCCACGUUAUACCCAACCAUCUCUUGCUUAUCAGCCUGUAUACCUCCGUCGCAAGCUUACCAUAUGAACGCAUAACAGUAGGCCCAAGGACUUAGCGCCACAACGUCAGGUCAAGGUGCAGCUCAUGAGAUGGAAAGUAAUGGGCUACAAUUUCUAAAUUAGAACAAACGAAAAACUACAUGAAACAUAGACAUGAAGGUGGAUUUAGUAGUAAAUAAGGAAUAGAGAGCCUUAUUAAACUUGGCCCUGGGACGUGUACACACCGCCCGUCACC
rnacentral:rRNA from 1 species